rnacentral:rRNA from 1 species
UAGUAUUAGUUAUGUUCUUGAAAAUUAAAAAAGUUGGCGGUAUUUUAGUCUAUUUAGAGGAACCUGUCCUAUAAUCGAUAAUCCACGAUUUGAUUGACUUAUUGUUUAAGUUUGCAUAUCGCCGUAGAUUGAAUAUUUUUGAAGAAUUAGGAAUGUUCAAUAAUUUUAUAAAAAAAGAAUUCAGGUCAAGAUGUAGCGUAUAAAUAAGAAGAGAUGGGUUACAAUAAAUUUAUUUAUAAUGAAUUAAUAAAUUUAAUUUUAUUAUGAAGGUGGAUUUAAAGGUAAU